UCGCUCCAAAAUCGAAAUUCCCCCCCAAAUUUCCGCCCAAAAUCGAAAUAAGAAGCUCUCCCCCCGUAAUUCUCUUUCUAACUCCUUCCCUCCCUCCCCCUCUCUCUCUCUGCGCCGCUGGCAAUCGAUCCCCAACGACGCUGGCGAUGGUGACGCCUCCGUCGUCGAAUCCUUCGAGCGCGUCCUCAGCAACUCCCUCCGCAAGAUUCCGUCGCAAUCUCCGCCUCCCGAUGAGAUUCCGACGUCGACCUCGUUGAUCAAGGUCAUUCGUCGGGCUCAGUCGUGAACCGAGUGGGGAAGCGAGUGUAUCAGAGGAAAGGGGUGAUCACUAACAUCAAGUCCUUCGGUACCGUCGAGCUCGGAUACGGAAUCAAGAAGCGCGAUGGCAGGCAUUUCCAGGAGGAAUGACAGAGGAGAAAAAAGUAGUAAGAAGGAGAGCCCUUGCAAAGUGGCUAAAGGAGAGUAUUUUGAGAUUAGGCCCAACAUUUAUCAAAAUAGGGCAACAGUUUUCUACAAGGGUGGAUAUUCUUGCUCAAGAAUAUGUUGAUCAGCUGUCCGAACUUCAGGUCAAAAUACUUGUCGACCAUAUGAUUCAUGCACCCAUUACACCACUGUAUUGCUCUGUACCAGCCUACUUGCACAAUUUAUUACACACCAACAUUCCUGGCUAUUAUGAG